CUGGGAAAACUCAAAGGAACUUGAAGAAAAUGUGUAGCCUAUAUGGAACCAGUGUUGUGUCACCCGUGACUUAUAGUUGAACUUACGUCUACUCUUGGAAAAUUUCCUGGAAGACUUAUUAAUUGGAAAAAAAACCCCAACCUACAUUCAAGUCAGAAACUAUCAGUAGUGAUUUACCUCUUUAUCUAGUCUUCUUCAUUUUAAAAGAGAAUUCACUCUUUCAUCUUUGGAGGUAAAAGUUAAAGUUAAAUUACUGCCUGAAUAAAUUUGGGAGUUUUAAU